GUUGUUCUAAACAGCUGCACCAGCUGUGCUCUGGAAAUAACCACCUGUGGUUUGAGCCGCUCUCGUAAUAAGCGUUGUCGCUCCCAUGCCGAGUUUACCGCUGUGACACGGACCGAGCUCAGCCCACAACCCACUGAGUCACGCUGCUUUUGAGCUUUCUUGUUUUAGGAAGCCUGUGAUUAUGAAUGAGUACUGUUGAGGGAAACAUUGAGGUGAUAUUUAUGUCUCAAACUCAGGAAAACUAGAUGCCAUAAUUCUGCUAAAAUGUCCCGUGUGACUGUGUGAAAUUAGUUUUUCUUAUGUAAUCAGAUUUUUCACAACUUGUGAUAGUGUUUUAUAUUCCAGUUCAGUUCAUGACGGACCAGUUUUAUGUUUGAGCCUAAUAUAUAUUUUAUCCAUUAUCUUACGACAAUCACUUUAGAAAAUGUACAAACUGAUUGGUCGUGUUUUUGUUGCAAUUAUCUUUUUCACAACUGUACAUUGUGCUUGUCAGGAGAAAUUCCAUCCUUCCGGCAAACCUUUGUAUCUCAUGAACCGUAAAACUCAAAACCAAAUUUUUGUGUACAUUAAUACUGGGAGGUCAAAGGUCUGCAUACCAAAAAAUCAUUUCUGACAUAAGUGCGUUUUUUUGUUGUUGUUGUGGGUUUUUUUGUAUUAUUAUUAUUAUUAUUUUUUGUGUGAAUUUUGUGUUUCAAGUAAGAAAUCUACCAGAAGCCCUGUAAUGUUCACAUUGCCCACUAGAAGGUGAAAAAAGCUGCUCAACUGUGUGGCAAGGUCUGGACUGUUCAUUCAUUUGAGAAGUUAACUUUUGGGGGAAAAUAAGAUUG